UACAUAGGCCUAGGUCCUAAUCAAUGGCAAUAACAUUAUCAUUAUUGAAAAGGCCUGUCCGACGGGAGAAAAUUGGACAGAACGGCAAAAAAACAAAACUUGAAAUAAAAAUGUCUAGGAUCAGCAAUAUUUAAGCAUCAGUCGGAUUACACCAACAUAACUUUUUUUAAUAGGCCUUUAAUAGUAAAUUUGCAUUUUCUUUUAAUUAUUUUGUUUUCAUUAUUAGUAAUAUGUAAUCUACUGUUAGGUAGUUAAUAAUAAUUAAUAAUAAUAAUAAUAAUAAUAAUAAUAAUAAUAAUAAUAAUAAUUAAAAUUUGAAUUUAUCCAGGAGAUAUCUAUUGGGGCCAGGCAUACCAUUGUCCAUGAUGUGGCCUGUGCAAGUAUUGGAAUGGCCACCAUUGCCGUCAUCGGUACAAGUUUUCUGUCAUGCAGAUGAUGCAGAGUCAGCAAGAGAAUGAAAUUAUCAACAAAAUUGCGGGCUGUGAUGAGCAAAUAUGUAUGUCUCCAAUGUUGCCUCUACCUAAUCCACCCCUGACAGAAGGAAUAGAUCCUGAAGUCUUUAUUGCUACAGCAUUGGACAGGUGAGAACUGUGGGAAGUUGACCGACUUGCUAAGUUAACUGGUUGUCAAUUUUCUAGUAUGUUUCGUACUCAGAAUACAACACAUGUUAUCAUAAAAACAGGUUAGUUUAGAAUAAAAAUCAUUUUAUUCAUUGCAAAAUGUUUAAAAUAUUGGAGUUUAAAUUUUAAAAGGUUCUGUGAAAUUGGAUUCAAAUUUCAGAAUCAUAAUCAUAUUUAUUGUCAUUAUAAUUUUCAUUGUUUUAGUCAAUGAUAAAUUUAUUCCAUCCCCAUAUUAUUGUCAUGGUCAUCAAUAAUGUAUGGCAGAUGUCCCAAUAUAGUAAUGUUCACUUUGUUGCACAACCUGAUGGUUGCUUUGAUAAAUUUAACAUUCCUUUUGCAGUGUUUCUAAAUAUAAAAACAUCAAUUAAAAAAAUCAAUACCUUUAAAACACAUUUAUUCCCUUGUUCUAUGCUUACUGCUGUAAUCAGACAAUAUCACAAUAAAUCAAAUAAUGU